rnacentral:misc_RNA from 1 species
UUUCCCCGUUGUUUGUUUACCAUGUCAGCUGGCGAGGCGAGAGCAUGCUGGCGAAGAUCCUGUUCCUUCUCGCCUCUGUAGCGCCCUUCCUCGUGCUCCUGCAGGGUUCCUGGGCCAGCGAGAAGGCCUUUAACAUCUUUCGGUAUCCUCCUAAUAAUCUGGACAGGAAAUAUGGCCGGGUUUCCGAGCACGAGAGGAGAGAGUUGGCCAAUGCUACGAGGGCCAUGUUCUACUUCGGCUACGAGAACUACAUGAAGCACGCAUACCCUAAGGACGAGCUCAACCCCAUCUACUGCAGCGGGAGAGGGCCCGACUGGGAGAAUCCGUCCAACAUCAACAUCAAUGAUAUCCUGGGAGAUUAUUCUCUGACCCUCAUUGACGCCUUAGACACGCUUGCAAUUCUUGGAGAUGCCGUUGAGUUCCGGAGAGCCGUGCAGCUGGUUAUUGAGAAUGUCACCUUCGACAAGAAUUCAACGGUGCAGGUCUUCGAGGCUAAUAUUAGGCUUCUGGGAGCCUUACUGUCAGCCCACCUCCUCAUCCUUGACAAGAGCAAGCCCUUUGGUGACCUGGAGCCAGAAUGGUACGAUGGCGAACUCCUUGAGAUGGCCUCAGAUCUUGCCUCAAGACUGCUUCCAGCCUUUGACAAUUCCAAAACAGGUCUCCCCCACCCUAGGGUGAAUUUGCGUGAUGGUGUGCCCAAGGGUAGUCGGACGGACACGUGCACAGCAGGAGCAGGAACUCUCUUAGUAGAAUUUGGAGUUCUUAGUCGCCUCAUUGGAGACCCAGUGUAUGAGAUGUCAGCCCGGCGAGCCAACAAAGUGCUGUGGAACCUGCGGAAUGCAAAGACUGGGCUCUUCGGCAACGUGGUGGAUGUGGACACGGGCAAGUGGAUGGGGGAGCUGAGUGGAGUGGGGGCUGGGCUGGACAGCUUCUAUGAGUACCUCCUCAAGGCUUUCAUUCUUUUUGGGGAGGAAGAUGAUUAUUCAAUGUUCAAUGAGACAUACACACUCGUCAAGCAGUAUAUGAGGCGUGGUCGGCCACAUUGUAAUUCUGGGUUUGGCGAGCAUCCUCUGUAUGUGAAUGUUGAUAUGAAGAAUGGAGGAACACAAACCACUUGGAUAGAUUCGCUUCAGGCAGCAUUUGCUGGAGUGCAGGUUUUAGCUGGAGACAUGGAAGAGGCCAUUUGCACACAUGCCCUGUACUACACAAUAUGGAAGAAGUAUGGGGUUCUGCCUGAGAGGUUCAACUGGCAACGCAUUUCUCCGGAUGUGAUGUUUUACCCUUUGAGACCAGAGUUUGUGGAGUCAACCUAUCUCCUAUAUCAGCAAGCUGUCUCAGUAGCAUUGGAAGGGAAUGUAGGAGAAGCCUUAGAUUUUGCUUGCUAUCACACAGGCCACACGCAACCCCUUCUACCUGCACGUGGGCAGAGAUAUCCUGACGUCACUGAAUAACCUGACGCGGGCAGAGUGUGGCUAUGCAACCGUCCACUCAGUGCUUGACAUGACGCUCGAGGAUCGGAUGGAGUCCUUCUUCCUUUCAGAGACUUGCAAAUACUUGUACCUUCUCUUCGACAUAGACAACCCAGUGAACUUGAAGUCCCAUCAGUACAUGUUCACAACCGAGGGCCACAUCUUGCCCCUGGGACCUUGGCUGCGUAAGAAGAGAUGGGAUGUUGACCUCUUCCAAAAUGCAGAAACUGUGAUA